GUAUCAGGGUUUAUUAAAUAAUAUAUUAGAAUUAAUAAUUCCCGAAUUUUAGGGAGCUAAUUAUAAAAUUAUUUUAAUGUAAAAAAAUUAUUUAUAAUUUAUAAUUUGUAAUUAUAUGUUAGUCAUUCUUUAAUAUAUCUGGUUUUCUAAGAAAUUAAUUUAAUUAAUUUAAUCAAAUAAGAAUUUUUCUUGAAAAAUUUACUUUUGAUUAUAAAAAUUUUGAGGGGAUAAGCUUUUGAAAUAAUAAUUAUAAUAGAUUUUGAGUAUAGAUUAAGUAGGAUUAGAAGUUUCCAUUUUUUGUAGAGUUUAAUAACCGACUUUGUAUAAUAAUUUGAUUUAUUAAGUAUUUAAGUUUUUUUAUUAGAAUAAUUUGUUUAAUUUAUUUUUAAAUAUGAUAAUGAUAGAAUUAGUAAAUUUAUUUGUAUAAAAUCUUUAUAAUAUAAAGUUUUUAAUAAGGAACUCGGCAAUUUAAUUUUCCGCCUGUUUAAUAAAAACAUGUCUUUUUGUUUAAUAUUUAAAGUCUAGCCUGCCCAAUGAUUAUUUGAAUGGCCGCGGUAUUUUGACCGUGCAAAGGUAGCAUAAUCAUUAGUUUUUUAAUUGAAAGCUGGAAUGAACGGUUUGACGAGAAAAUUACUGUCUCUUUAAAAUUAAUUGAAUUUAAUUUUUUAGUUAAAAAGCUUAAAUGUUUAUAAGGGACGAGAAGACCCUAUAGAAUUUUAUAAUUUUAAACUUAAUAAUUUAUUGGAUUAUAUUUAUCAUUAAGUUUAAAAUUGUUUUGUUGGGGCGACAGGAAAAUUUAAUAAACUUUUCUUUAUUAAGAACAUUUAUUUAUGAAUAUAUGAUCCAUAAUUUGAUUAUAAGAGAAAAUUACCUUAGGGAUAACAGCGUUAUUAAUUUGGAGAGUUCAUAUCGAUAAAUUAGUUUGCGACCUCGAUGUUGGAUUAAAAUUAUCUUUAGGUGGAGAAACUUAAAAGUUAAGUCUGUUCGACUUUUAAAAUUUUACAUGAUCUGAGUUCAAACCGGA
rnacentral:rRNA from 1 species